rnacentral:rRNA from 1 species
ACGCUCGACACCUACGGGGCAGCAGUUAGGAAUAUUGGGCAAUGGAGGAAACUCUGACCCAGCAACGCCGCGUGAAGGAAGAAGGUUUUCGGAUUGUAAACUUCUGAUCUAGGGGAAGAAGGAAGUGACGGUACCCUAGGAGAAAGCCACGGCUAACUACGUGCCAACAGCCGCGGUAAUCUGAGCGGGCUGGCAAGGC